UUACGGCCAUAACAGGUUGAAACACCAAUUCCCGUACGAUCACUGAAGUCAAGCAACGUCGAUCCUGGUCAGUAUCUAGUCGGGUGACUGCUUCGGAAUAUCAGGUGUUGUAAG